UACGGAGGAUGCAAGCGUUAUCCGGAAUGAUUGGGCGUAAAGGGUCCGCAGGUGGCAGUGUAAGUCUGCUGUCAAAGAAUGAGGCUUAACCUCAUCAAGGCAGUGGAAACUACACAGCUAGAGUACGGUCGGGGUAGAAGGAAUUCCUGGUGUAGCGGUGAAAUGCGCAGAUAUCAGGAGGAACACCGGUGGCGAAGGCGGGUCUCUGGGCCGAUACUGACGCUGAGGAGCGAAAGCGUGGGGAGCAAACAGG
rnacentral:rRNA from 1 species